AUUGAACGCUGGCGGCAGGCCUAACACAUGCAAGUCGAACGGUAACAGGAAGCAGCUUGCUGCUUUGCUGACUAGUGGCGGACGGGUGAGUAAUGUCUGGGAAACUGCCCGAUGGAGGGGGAUAACUACUGGAAACGGUAGCUAAUACCGCAUAACGUCGCAAGACCAAAGAGGGGGACCUUAGGGCCUCUUGCCAUCGGAUGUGCCCAGAUGGGAUUAGCUAGUAGGUGGGGUAACGGCUCACCUAGGCGACGAUCCCUAGCUGGUCUGAGAGGAUGACCAGCCACACUGGAACUGAGACACGGUCCAGACUCCUACGGGAGGCAGCAGUGGGGAAUAUUGCACAAUGGGCGCAAGCCUGAUGCAGCCAUGCCGCGUGUAUGAAGAAGGCCUUCGGGUUGUAAAGUACUUUCAGCGGGGAGGAAGGGAGUAAAGUUAAUACCUUUGCUCAUUGACGUUACCCGCAGAAGAAGCACCGGCUAACUCCGUG
rnacentral:rRNA from 1 species